GUCUUUUGUACUACAAUAUAAAGGAAAUAUUUUCACCACAUAAUCCAAUUAUGUGCUUUGGCAAACAUUACUGCUUUGGCAAACAUUACUGCCUUGGAAAACAUUACUUUUUUAUAACCACUAAUUAUGAUGAUGCCAGCCCAACAACACUUGGUCAUGCUAUUUGCAAAUAUUUUCAUGUUCUAGAUUGUGAAAACAAUCAAUUUCUAAACAAAUGAGUAGUGAUUAUUUCAAAUUUGAAUAGCAUGACAAAAUUUUGAGGCUGGUUAUGCCACUAAUAACUAAAGUCAAU